GUGCUUGCUUUGGCAACACAUAUACUAAAAUUUGAAUGAUACAGAAAAGAUUAGCAUGGUUCUGAGCAAGGAUGACACUCAAAUUUGUGAAGCAUUCCAUAAUUUU
ensembl:snRNA U6 U6 spliceosomal RNA